UGCUCUGUGGCUUAGUUGGUUAAAGCGCCGGUCUAGCGAAUACGGAGUCGUGGGUUCAAAUCCCACCAGAACUU
rnacentral:tRNA from 1 species